UUCUUAUUGGAUGACAACUGUCAUGUGUCAUGUUCUGAUUGAAUGUCAAUUCCAUGAAAGAUGAAAUGCAUUAUUAUUUUCAUUAACCAAUAAGAACAUGACACGUAACAGUUGUCAUCC
rfam:Glycine soja cultivar W05 scaffold261_49, whole genome shotgun sequence.